GAGAGUAUAGCUCAGUGGUAGAGUGCAAACCUGGUAUGCACAACGUCCUGGGUUCAAUUCCCAGUACUUCUG
rnacentral:tRNA from 1 species